rnacentral:rRNA from 1 species
UUGAACGCUGGCGGCAGGCCUAACACAUGCAAGUCGAGCGGUAGCACAGAGAGCUUGCUCUCGGGUGACGAGCGGCGGACGGGUGAGUAAUGUCUGGGAAACUGCCUGAUGGAGGGGGAUAACUACUGGAAACGGUAGCUAAUACCGCAUAACGUCGCAAGACCAAAGUGGGGGACCUUCGGGCCUCAUGCCAUCAGAUGUGCCCAGAUGGGAUUAGCUAGUAGGUGGGGUAACGGCUCACCUAGGCGACGAUCCCUAGCUGGUCUGAGAGGAUGACCAGCCACACUGGAACUGAGACACGGUCCAGACUCCUACGGGAGGCAGCAGUGGGGAAUAUUGCACAAUGGGCGCAAGCCUGAUGCAGCCAUGCCGCGUGUGUGAAGAAGGCCUUCGGGUUGUAAAGCACUUUCAGCGGGGAGGAAGGCGAUAAGGUUAAUAACCUUGUCGAUUGACGUUACCCGCAGAAGAAGCACCGGCUAACUCCGUGCCAGCAGCCGCGGUAAUACGGAGGGUGCAAGCGUUAAUCGGAAUUACUGGGCGUAAAGCGCACGCAGGCGGUCUGUCAAGUCGGAUGUGAAAUCCCCGGGCUUAACCUGGGAACUGCAUUCGAAACUGGCAGGCUAGAGUCUUGUAGAGGGGGGUAGAAUUCCAGGUGUAGCGGUGAAAUGCGUAGAUAUUAGGAGGAACACCAGUGGCGAAGGCGACUUACUGGACUGCUACUGACACUGAGGCACGAAAGCGUGGGGAGCAAACAGGAUUAGAUACCCUGGUAGUCCACGCCGUAAACGAUGUCGAUUUGGAGGUUGUGCCCUUGAGGCGUGGCUUCCGGAGCUAACGCGUUAAAUCGACCGCCUGGGGAGUACGGCCGCAAGGUUAAAACUCAAAUGAAUUGACGGGGGCCCGCACAAGCGGUGGAGCAUGUGGUUUAAUUCGAUGCAACGCGAAGAACCUUACCUGGUCUUGACAUCCACAGAACUUUCCAGAGAUGGAUUGGUGCCUUCGGGAACUGUGAGACAGGUGCUGCAUGGCUGUCGUCAGCUCGUGUUGUGAAAUGUUGGGUUAAGUCCCGCAACGAGCGCAACCCUUAUCCUUUGUUGCCAGCGGUUCGGCCGGGAACUCAAAGGAGACUGCCAGUGAUAAACUGGAGGAAGGUGGGGAUAACGUCAAGUCAUCAUGGCCCUUACGACCAGGGCUACACACGUGCUACAAUGGCAUAUACAAAGAGAAGCGACCUCGCGAGAGCAAGCGGACCUCAUAAAGUAUGUCGUAGUCCGGAUUGGAGUCUGCAACUCGACUCCAUGAAGUCGGAAUCGCUAGUAAUCGUAGAUCAGAAUGCUACGGUGAAUACGUUCCCGGGCCUUGUACACACCGCCCGUCACACCAUGGGAGUGGGUUGCAAAAGAAGUAGGUAGCUUAACCUUCGGGAGGGCGCUUACCACUUUGUGAUUCAUGACUGGGGUG